rnacentral:rRNA from 1 species
CGCGUAGGCGGACUGCCAAGUCAGGGGUGAAAGCCCACGGCUCAACCGUGGAAGUGCCUUUGAUACUGGCGGUCUCGAGGGAGGUAGGGCGUGCGGAACUUCCGGUGGAGCGGUGAAAUGCGUAGAUAUCGGAAGGAACACCGGUGGCGAAAGCGGCGCGCUGGACCUCUUCUGACGCUGAGGCGCGAAAGCCAGGGGAGCGAACG